GACGAACGCUGGCGGCGUGCUUAACACAUGCAAGUCGAACGGAAAGGCCCUGCUUUUGUGGGGUGCUCGAGUGGCGAACGGGUGAGUAACACGUGAGUAACCUGCCCUUGACUUUGGGAUAACUUCAGGAAACUGGGGCUAAUACCGGAUAGGAGCUCCUGCUGCAUGGUGGGGGUUGGAAAGUGUCGGCGGUGGGGGAUGGACUCGCGGCUUAUCAGCUUGUUGGUGGGGUAGUGGCUUACCAAGGCUUUGACGGGUAGCCGGCCUGAGAGGGUGACCGGCCACAUUGGGACUGAGAUACGGCCCAGAAUCCUACGGGAGGCAGCAGUGGGGAAUAUUGCACAAUGGGCGGAAGCCUGAUGCAGCAACGCCGCGUGCGGGAUGACGGCCUUCGGGUUGUAAACCGCUUUCGCCUGUGACGAAGCGUGAGUGACGGUAAUGGGUAAAGAAGCACCGGCUAACUACGUG
rnacentral:rRNA from 1 species